CCUACGGGAGGCAGCAGUGGGGAAUCUUGGACAAUGGGCGCAAGCCUGAUCCAGCCAUGCCGCGUGAGUGAUGAAGGCCUUAGGGUCGUAAAGCUCUUUCGCCAGGGAUGAUAAUGACAGUACCU
rnacentral:rRNA from 1 species